GGGAUGUGUUUAUUAGAUUAAAAACCAAUGCCCUCUGGGCUCUCUGGUGAUUCAUGAUAACCGCUCGAAUCGCAUGGCCUUGCGCCGGCGAUGGCUCAUUCAAAUUUCUUCCCUAUCAACUUUCGAUGUUUGGGUAGUGGCCAAACAUGGUUGCAACGGGUAACGGAGGGUUAGGGCUCGACCCCGGAGAAGGAGCCUGAGAAACGGCUACUACAUCCAAGGAAGGCAGCAGGCGCGCAAAUUACCCAAUCCCGACACGGGGAGGUAGUGACAAUAAAUACUGAUACAGGGCUCUUUUGGGUCUUGUAAUUGGAAUGAGUACAAUUUAAAUCCCUUAACGAGGAACAAUUGGAGGGCAAGUCUGGUGCCAGCAGCCGCGGUAAUUCCAGCUCCAAUAGGGUAUAUUAAAGUUGUUGGGGUUAAAAAGCUCGUAGUUGAACCUUGGGCCUGGCUGGCCGGUCCGCCUCACCGCGUGCACUGGUCCGGCCGGGCCUUUCCCUCUGUGGAGCCCCAUGCCCUUCACUGGGUGUGGCGGGGAAACAGGACUUUUACUUUGAAAAAAUUAGAGUGCUCUAAGCAGGCCAAUGCUCGAAUACAUUAGCAUGGAAUAAUGAAAUAGGACGUGCGGUUCUAUUUUGUUGGUUUCUAGGACCGCCGUAAUGAUUAAUAGGGACAGUCGGGGGCAUCAGUAUUCAAUUGUCAGAGGUGAAAUUCUUGGAUCAUUUGAAGACUAACUACUGCGAAAGCAUUUGUCAAGGAUGUUUUCAUUAAUCAGGAACGAAAGUUAGGGGUUCAAAGACGAUCAGAUGCCGUCGUAGUCUUAACCGUA
rnacentral:rRNA from 1 species